rnacentral:rRNA from 1 species
GACGAACGCUGGCGGCGUGCUUAACACAUGCAAGUCGAGCGGUAAGGCCCUUUCGGGGGUACACGAGCGGCGAACGGGUGAGUAACACGUGAGUGACCUGCCCUCAGCUCUGGGAUAAGCCUGGGAAACCGGGUCUAAUACCGGAUAUGACUCCAUGACGCAUGUUGUGGGGUGGAAAGCCUUGUGCGGCUGAGGAUGGGCCCGCGGCCUAUCAGCUUGUUGGUGGGGUGANGGCCUACCAAGGCGACGACGGGUAGCCGGCCUGAGAGGGCGACCGGCCACACUGGGACUGAGACACGGCCCAGACUCCUACGGGAGGCAGCAGUGGGGAAUCUUGCGCAAUGGGCGAAAGCCUGACGCAGCGACGCCGCGUGAGGGAUGACGGCCUCGG